rnacentral:rRNA from 1 species
UACGGGGGGGGGCAAGCGUUGUUCGGAAUUACUGGGCGUAAAGGGCUCGUAGGUGGCCAACUAAGUCAGACGUGAAAUCCCUCAGCUUAACUGGGGAACUGCGUCUGAUACUGGAUGGCUUGAGUUUGGGAGAGGGAUGCGGAAUUCCAGGUGUAGCGGUGAAAUGCGUAGAUAUCGGGAGGAACACCGAUGGCGAAGGCAGCCCCCUGGGCCAAUACUGACGCUCAGGCACGAAAGCGUGGGGAGCAAACAGG